CUAAUACUGCAGUCGAACGAACUUCCGUUAAUUGAUUAUGACGUACUUGUACUGAUUGAGAUUAAAACACGAAGUGAGUGGCGAACGGGUGAGUAACACGUGGGUAACCUGCCCAGAAGUAGGGGAUAACACCUGGAAACAGAUGCUAAUACCGUAUAACAGAGAAAACCGCAUGGUUUUCUUUUAAAAGAUGGCUCUGCUAUCACUUCUGGAUGGACCCGCGGCGUAUUAGCUAGUUGGUGAGGUAAAGGCUCACCAAGGCAGUGAUACGUAGCCGACCUGAGAGGGUAAUCGGCCACAUUGGGACUGAGACACGGCCCAAACUCCUACGGGAGGCAGCAGUAGGGAAUCUUCCACAAUGGACGCAAGUCUGAUGGAGCAACGCCGCGUGAGUGAAGAAGGGUUUCGGCUCGUAAAGCUCUGUUGUUAAAGAAGAACGUGGGUAAGAGUAACUGUUUUCCCUGUGACGGUAUUUAACCAGAAAGCCACGGCUAACUACGUGCCAGCAGCCGCGGUAAUACGUAGGUGGCAAGCGUUAUCCGGAUUUAUUGGGCGUAAAGCGAGCGCAGGCGGUCUUUUAAGUGUAAUGUGAAAGCCUUCGGCUCAACCGAAGAAAUGCAUUGCAAAAUGGGAGACUUGAGUGCAGAAGAGGACAGUGAAACUCCAUGUGUAGCGGUGAAAUGCGUAGAUAUAUGGAAGAACACCAGUGGCGAAGGCGGCUGUCUGGUCUGCAACUGACGCUGAGGCUCGAAAGCAUGGGUAGCGAACAGGAUUAGAUACCCUGGUAGUCCAUGCCGUAAACGAUGAUUACUAAGUGUUGGAGGGUUUCCGCCCUUCAGUGCUGCAGCUAACGCAUUAAG
rnacentral:rRNA from 1 species